GUUGAUCUCCUCCGAGCCUGCGGCUGUGAAAUCAACCUCCUGCCUUCCAAGAUCUCCGAGUGCCGCCUGGUUCUUCCGCCGGGUGAUCCAGACCAGGUUCCGGGACGUUUGGUCCCCUGAGCGGGGAAACCCAACCGCGCUGGCCCGUUGUUGCCACCGGUUUGGGGAACCUGCGAGGCGGUGACAGAACGAGGAGUCGCAACGGGGAAGGCGCGCCCUACCUGAAUUUCUGCAGCCUCCGGCUCCGUCGCCUCUGCUGUUCCCACCAGACUCGAGGAGACUUGGCAGAAAUAAAUAAAAAACAUUAAAAAAAAAAAAGAAAGGAGGACACAGAAGAGCGCACGGGAAGAAGGUGACAGGGACAGCGGCAAUGGAGCUGUUCUACAGGAACGGUCAAGAAGGGCCUCUCUGAGGAGCUGCCGUUGCAGCAGAGCCGAGGGAGCCCCCAAAGUCUGUGUCAGGAAGAACAGCCACCGGGGCAGAGGGAAGAGCGGGGGCAAAGACCUCGAGUUUGCUCAAAAGCAGCAUUUACUCCACGGGUUCCGGGAACAGCAAGAAGCCAGUGCGCCUGGAACAGAGCUGACAGCAGAUCAAUCUAGAAAUUCAGUCCCUCUGAAUGAGGGUGAGGUGUCGGACUCCGUGGCAUGUGCUGGAAAUGUGGGCAAGAGGCAGGCUCCCAGAACACGGGGCGACGUUGAUACGACUUUGCAGCAAACUGCUUGCCCUCCCCCCCAUCCCACUCCCGCCCAAGCAGAUCUUUGUCUUCUCCCUUUGCUGCCGCCUUCUCUGCUGCACAGACAAAACCAGGAAGCCCCCACCUCUGGCUGAAACUCCAGAGAGCGUCACCCACUAUUGCACACCGUGGCCAAGCUUAGAACGCACCCCUUGAAGACUGGGUCUUUCUCAGCCCUCAGAUCACCCGGCAUUCUGAGGCUGUUCACGAGCCACCCUUGCUCAGUCCCCCAAAGGCAGUCAAAAGAUUCUGCUCCUGACACAUGCAAGGCUUUUAAAGGAAGAGUCAUUUUUAAUAAAAGCAUGAAAAUGCACAUCGCUCUUCCCGGGAGCGCCACUUCCCAGCAGGAAAGUGAUGAAGGCUUAAACAAAAGUCCUCGCCCCUCGGGGAAAUUAAUCAUUUCUCUAGAAACCAAGGACCAUUCCAGACAGCCAGCUCUGGCGGGACUGACAGUAAGGACAUCACAGCAGCCACUGCUGGACACGGGAGCCCUU